UCCUCUGAUCAGUGGCGAACGGGUGAGUAACACGUGAGCAACCUGCCCCAGACUCUGGGAUAACAGUUGGAAACAGCUGCUAAUACCGGAUACGAGACGGAGAGGCAUCUCUACCGUCUGGAAAGUUUUUCGGUCUGGGAUGGACUCGCGGCCUAUCAGCUAGUUGGUGAGGUAAUGGCUCACCAAGGCGACGACGGGUAGCCGGCCUGAGAGGGCGACCGGCCACACUAGGACUGAGACACGGCCCAGACUCCUACGGGAGGCAGCAGUGGGGAAUAUUGCACAAUGGGCGAAAGCCUGAUGCAGCGACGCCGCGUGAGGGAUGAAGGCCUUCGGGUUGUAAACCUCUUUCAGCAGGGAAGAAGCGAAAGUGGCGGUACCUGCAGAAGAAGCACCGGCUAACUACGUGCCAGCAGCCGCGGUAAUACGUAGGGUGCGAGCGUUGUCCGGAAUUAUUGGGCGUAAAGAGCUUGUAGGCGGUUUGUCGCGUCUGCAGUGAAAAUCCGGGGCUCAACCCCGGACUUGCUGUGGGUACGGGCAGACUAGAGUAUGGUAGGGGAGACCGGAAUUCCUGGUGUAGCGGUGGAAUGCGCAGAUAUCAGGAGGAACACCGAUGGCGAAGGCAGGUCUCUGGGCCAUAACUGACGCUG
rnacentral:rRNA from 1 species